UGUGUGUGUGUGUGUGUGUGUGAGUGAGUGACCAAGUGUGAUCGUGGUGCAUAUUCAAAUCAAAUCAAAUCUCUGUGUGCAGACUACAUGGUGCCUGAGUCAAUCUUACAAAAAGGGGGCUGUAUAUGUGUUUCUAUGUGUGUGUGUGCGUGUGUGUGCGUGUGCGUGUGUGUGUGUGUGUGUGUGUGUGUGUGUGUGUGUGUGUGUGUGUGUGUGUGUGUGUGUGUGUGUGUGUGUGUGUGUGUGUGUGUGUGAGUGAGUGACCAAGUGUGAUCGUGGUGCAUAUUCAAAUCAAAUCAAAUCUCUGUGUGCAGACUACAUGGUGCCUGCAUCUCAAUGUGCAGUCGUAAACAGUCAUUCAACAUUCAAACACGGGUGCUUGUGGAGAGAGACACGGUGGUUAAAUGGUGUCUAGUGUGCCGAGCCCUAAAAAUGUUAUCAACAUUGAAAUAUGGAUAUUUGUGGCCAAGACACUAAUGGAGUUUCCAUGAUAAAAACAUGAUGAGAAUAUGGAGACGUGGACGCUGUAAUGGAAAACAGGCUUGAUACAGAUACAAUAAGGACCCAUAACAACAACUCUGAUGUCACCCCUACGUCCGUCCGCCCGCCUGUCUGCCUAUCUGUCUGCCAUCAUUAAACAGAGAGAGGGGCUUUGUCCUCCUCUCAUGAUGGGAAGCUGUUGAUUUUAUGGACCUCGGUGAUUCUUAUCAACCAUCAGCACAAAACAGAACAACCAAAUGGGUUGUUUAAGCAAGCUUCUACUGUGUGUUAGUCAAUCUUACAAAAAGGGGGCUGUAUAUGUGUUUCUAUGUGUGUGCGUGUGCGUGUGCGUGUGUGUGUGUGUGUGUGUGUGUGUGUGUGUGUGUGUGUGUGUAUAAACAUAAUCACUAUAUACACUGUGAAAGAUAUUGGGCUCCCUGUGUAAACAGCCUCUGUGUCUUCCUGCUUGAGUGCCUUAAACAUAUGCAGCCAGCAGCUCCUCUCCUCUCCUCUCCUCAGGGACCAGCAGACGAGCCCACAGCGUGUGAGGAGCCCAGAUAACCCCUGCCUCCACAAGGCUCGCUUUCUGUAGCCCCCCCACACACACACACACACACACACACACACACACACACACACACACACACACACACACACACACACACACACACACACACACACACACACACACACACACACACACACACGAUAGCCACACCACGCCAAGGCAUCCAUACAACGCCUGUGGCUUAAAAUGCAUCCACCAAUGUGAGUCUAGUCCAUAGGUUUAACCGACUUAACGUACACACGAUACACCUCCAUGCCUUGAGUGUGAGUCUGUAGUCACCUAGCUCGCAUGUACUGUAGCCACUUUGCUAGCAUCCCUUAGCUAGCAGGUACUGUAGUCACUUAUCUAGCAGGUACUGUAGUCACUUAGCUAGCAGGUACUGUAGUCACUUAGCUAGCAGGUACUGUAGUCACUUAGCUAGCAGGUACUGUAGUCACUUAGCUAGCAGGUACUGUAGUCACUUAGCUAGCGUCACUUAGCUAGCAGGUACUGUAGUCACUUAGCUAGCAGGUACUAUAGUCACUUAGCUAGCAGGUACUGUAACCACUUAGCUAGCAGGUACUGUAGCCACUUAGCUAGCAGGUACUGUAGCCACUUAGCUAGCAGGUACUGUAGUCACUUAGCUAGCGUCACUUAGCUAGCAGGUACUGUAGUCACUUAGCUAGCUCUGUGCCCUGCUGGCCAGUUGGUUAUGUCCUCUUAGAAGAGUCAUAGAAUAAAAUAAUGGCCCAUUUUAUAUCCUGGGCGUGUGCCAGCUUAGCUUAACCAUCAGCAAUGCAUCAAUCUGCCAUUUUUUACUGUAUCCAUAUUGGUUUUAUUGGAGUAAUUCAGCCAUGUACUAUAAAAGAUAGGUACACAUGCUGCUAUUGUUAGGAUGGUGCCAGAGGGACAGAGAGGGAGAGAGACAGAGACGGGGAGGGAGAGAGUGGGAGAGAGACAGAGGGACAGAGCGGGAGAGAGAGAGAGAGACAGAGGGACAGAGGGGCAGAGGGAGAGAGAGAGAGAGACAGAGGGACAGAGGGAGAGAGAGAGAGACAGAGGGAGAGAGGGACAGACGGAGAGGGAGAGACAGAGAGAGAGAGAGAGAGAGAGAGACAGAGGGACAGAGGGACAGAGGGGGAGAGAGAGAGGGACAGAGGGAGCGAGAGAGAGAGACAGAGGGAGAGAGGGACAGACGGAGAGGGAGAGACAGAGGGAGAGAGAGAGAGACAGAGGGACAGAGCGGGGAGAGAGAGAGAGACCGAGGGAGAGAGGGAGAGGGAGGGGGAGGGAGAUAGAGGCAGAGAGGGAGCGAGAGAGAGACCGAGGGAGAGAGACAGAGAGAGGGGGGAGAGAGCGGGAGAGAGAGAGGGACAGAGGGAGAGGGAGAGAGAGACCGAGGGAGAGAGACAGAGAGGGGGAGGGAGAGAGAGGACCAACAGAACUCUCUGGCUGGCUCUAAACCCAGAUCUGGUUGGCCUGGACAGCUGUAAAAUGUAGCACACUACUUCUAUUAAUCUGACCUGCCAAUCACACCCAACCAACAGGGUCUCAGAGAAGUAACCAACCCACUCUACACACAGAGAGAGAGAGACAUUGUUAAAACACUGAAUAUAUAUAUAAUAUGACAUUUGUAAUGUCUUUAUUGUUUUGAAACUUCUGUAUGUGUGAUGUUUACUAUUAAUUUUUAUUGUUUAUUUCACUUCAUAUAUUAUCUACCUCACUUGCUUUGGCAAUGUUAACACAUGUUUCCCAUGCCAAUAAAGCCCUUCAAUUGAAUUGAAUUGAAUUGAGAGAGAGAGAGAGAGAGAGAGAGAGAGAGAGAGAGAGAGAGAGAGAAGUGGGCGAGAGAUGAGAGAGAGAACAAGUGGGCACAAGCGAGAGAGAGACAGACAGACAGAGAGGGAGAGAGAACAAAAUAAAAACCUAGCGGUCAAACAGGGAAAUGGUUCCAAUAGUUUUUCCAGAAGAAAAACAAACGCACACCUAUUUAGGUGAGGUGCUGGCUAGCGGAGUAGAAAACUUGAAAAUAAAAUAAAAGAGAGCCGCACACUCUAGGAGCUCAGAUGCACUCUACACUCUAGGAGCUCAGAUGCACUCUACACUCUAGGAGCUCAGAUGCACUCUACACUCUAGGAGCUCAGAUGCACUCAGAUGAAAAAUGUAAUUACCAACGUUGACAGCCAGGCUGUCUUCAUCAGGGUAUAUCCAAUAAGGGCUGUGUUUGGUGUAGGCUUACCCCGGAGUGACGUUUUGAGAACCAUGGAAAUCUCUCACAGACAAGGAGACUUUGGAGGAAUUUUGAAUGUCAGCCUGCUUGCCCUCUGCAAGGACACAACAACACAAUAAUAUACACAUUUAUAAGUACAUUUAUCUUAAAGUUUUGCAUGCACAUGCAGUAUGUAGAAAUACAGUAGAUAAUCAUGGAGUUUGUAGAAAUACAGUAGAUAAUCAUGGAGUUUGUAGAAAUACAGUAGAUAAUCAUGGAGUAUGUUUAAAUACAGUAGAUAAUCAUGGAGUUUGUUUAAAUACAUGUAGAUAAUCAUGGAGUUUGUAGAAAUACAGUAGAUAAUCAUGGAGUUUGUUUAAAUACAGUAGAUAAUCAU
ensembl:lncRNA